rnacentral:rRNA from 1 species
GACGAAAGCUGGCGGCGUGCCUAAUACAUGCAAGUCGAACGCAGUGGGGACGGGUGAGUAACACGUGGGUAACCUCCCAUCAGAGGGGAUAACACUUGGAAACAGGUGCUAAACCGAUACUGAUGGAUGGACCCGCGGUGCAUUAGCUAGUUGGUGAGGGAACGGCUCACCAAGGCUCAGAUGGAUAGUCUGCCUAAGAGGGGUAUCGGCCACACUGGGACUGAGACAGAGCCCAGACUCCUACGGGAGGCAGCAGUAGGGAAUCUUCGGAAAUGGACGAAAGUCUGACCGAGCAACGCCGCUUGAGUGAAGAAGGUUUUCGGAUCGUAAACCUCUGUUGUUAGAGAAGCGGUAUCUAACCAGAAAGCCACGGCUAACUACGUGCCAGCAGCCGCGGUAAUAC